GGGUGAGAUCGUUGCUGAGUGUUGAGAGAGGUCACUUUAUUCUUUUUCUUUUUGUUUUUUCGUCCCAUUUGACCGUUAGAGGAGAGAGAGAAAUUUAUGGGAAUUGUCAGCCGUGUACCACCCUUUGAGAAGACAAGACUGCCACGUGGCAUCGGGCAAUUGGGUUGAAAGAGAUAUUUUGUAUAUUUUUUAUUUCAUUUGUUCUUUAUUAUUAGUAACUUGAUUAAUAAUUAAUUUUGAUUGGAAUCAAUAUAUUCA
rnacentral:lncRNA from 1 species